rnacentral:rRNA from 1 species
GCACAAGCGGUGGAGUAUGUGGUUUAAUUCGAUGCAACGCGAAGAACCUUACCUGGUCUUGACAUCCACGGAAGUUUUCAGAGAUGAGGAUGUGCCUUCGGGAACCGUGAGACAGGUGCUGCAUGGCCGUCGUCAGCUCGUGUUGUGAAAUGUUGGGUUAAGUCCCGCAACGAGCGCAACCCUUAUCCUUUGUUGCCAGCGGUCCGGCCGGGAACUCAAAGGAGACUGCCAGUGAUAAGCCGGAGGAAGGUGGGGAUGACGUCAAAUCAUCAUGCCCCUUAUGACCUGGGCUACACACGUGCUACAAUGGUUGGUACAACGAGUUGCGAGUCGGUGACGGCGAGCUAAUCUCUUAAAGCCAAUCUCAGUUCGGAUUGUAGGCUGCAACUCGCCUACAUGAAGUCGGAAUCGCUAGUAAUCGCGGAUCAGCACGCCGCGGUGAAUACGUUCCCGGGCCUU